rnacentral:rRNA from 1 species
AGUGGUACUUCGUACGGUUUGUGGUAGGAAAGUUCUUUUGGCGGUGGUGGAUGGGCCCGCGGCCUAUCAGCUUGUUGGUGGGUAAUGGCCUACCAAGGCGACGACGGGUAGCCGGCCUGAGAGGGUGUCCGGCCACACUGGGACUGAGAUACGGCCCAGACUCCUACGGGAGGCAGCAGUGGGGAAUAUUGCACAAUGGGCGCAAGCCUGAUGCAGCGACGCCGCGUGAGGGAUGACGGCCUUCGGGUUGUAAACCUCUUUCAAUAGGGACGAAGCGCAAGUGACGGUACCUAUAGAAGAAGCACCGGCCAACUACGUG